GUUCUAUGUAAGCUAUUUGUAUCGGUCCCUUUAGUUUGGGUGUCCUUUACUUUCAGUUUUGUUGUGUACACCAGCUGAAAAUACUAUAGUUUUGGUUAUAAAAAAUAUAUUUCACAGCGGUUUAGAUGGUACAAUGAUUCGCGACACAAUGACUGCCUGUUGUCUCACAACUGAAAUUAGGUGAACUAUUUGAAUUUUAGCAACCAGGAAAUGGAAAGAUUAAUGCAUAUUCCACCUUUGAGAAAUUAAAGGUUAUUCUUUUGAGCUCAUGGUGUAGCCCAUGAGGCGGAGAAGCUGGAGGACAGGAAGAAGGUGAAGUGCCGCAAGAAAUCUGAAAUAGGGCAAUGAUUGACCCCCCAGUACCGUACCCACCUGAAGAGGAAAGCACAGGUGGCUCAGGGGGAGCUGGAGGCAGACUGCAGGAUCCUGGGAGUCCUGCUGGAGAGUGCACGUCUGGAGGGAAUUGAAGCAGGUCAAGGAGCAACUCCAGCUGGAAUAGGAAGCAGAGUUUGUUAUCCUGUACAGGUCGGUAAUAGCAUGAGCAGGCCCGGAGGCUGCAGGAGGAUGAGUGGAGACUGCAGGAGGAUGAGUGGAGGAUAAGUGGAGGCUGCAAGAGGAUGAGUGGAGGCUGCAGGAGGAUAAGUGGAGGCUGCAAGAGGAUGAGGAGAGGUUGCAGACCCAGAGGAUGUCCUAGCAGGGCUAACAGGACAAGAUUCAACACAGAACCCGUUCAGCCUGGACAUGAAGAAGUUGUGAGGCCAAAAAGACAAUCAUAUGUUCUUAUACAUUUGUACAAAGAAUGAAGUAGACCAACUUCAUGCUUAUAUGUUAGUUGCUGAAUGUGGUGGUUGUUAGUUUUGUUACAUAUUUAGCAAAAUGAUGAGGGAUAGUUUAUAAUUCAAAGAAUAAUUUUUUUUUAAAUCAAUAAACAAGACCUAAGAUUGUGAGUUUUAGUUAUGUAAUUAAAACAUCUAUUUUCUUUGCUUGCCUGUUUCUCUGCGCUCAUGGAAGAAACACUUUGUCACACAAUACAACAAACAAUUUAUCAUUGACAGAAUAAUUAGAUUAAUUUCCUUAGUUGGAUAUCUGCUAUUUAUCAUAAUUAUCAACCUAUAAAACAUAUGUGAAGCAUAUACAAUACUUUAGAGCCAAUCUGUAAGAUUUACUCUUUGAUUUGGAAGUUUUUGAUCUAAAUACCUUGUUGAGAUUCGUACUAAAGAUACAUACCCCGUUGUUUGUUUUUGUUUUCAUACAACAGGGCUGUCAAAUUCAUUCCAAUCCUAGUGUCUACAUGUUAAUGUUUUUUUCUUUCAAUUAAAACAACCAGGUGCGUGGACUUCUUUACUAAUUAGUGACCUUAAUUCAUCAAUUAAGUACAAGGAAGGAGCGAAAACCUGCAAAUACUUGACCCUGUGUGGAAUGAGUUUGAUAUGUAUCAUACAACAAAUAUUUGCAAUUCUUUGGGCCUACUUGAAACCAAUACACAUUUCUAUGAAGUGCUUGUGUGAACAGAAUUGCACAGCAGUGAAAUGCAUUAAAUGCAUGUCUUGAUGGAGGUACAUUUCACUGCUUCUAAAUAAAUUGUUCUUUAUCAACUUA